GAUGAACGCUGGCGGCGUGCCUAAUACAUGCAAGUCGAGCGAACAGAUGAGGAGCUUGCUCCUCUGACGUUAGCGGCGGACGGGUGAGUAACACGUGGAUAACCUACCUAUAAGACUGGGAGAACUUCGGGAAACCGGAGCUAAUACCGGAUAAUAUAUUGAACCGCAUGGUUCAAUAGUGAAAGACGGUUUUGCUGUCACUUAGAGAUGGAUCCGCGCCGCAUUAGCUAGUUGGUAAGGUAACGGCUUACCAAGGCAACGAUGCGUAGCCGACCUGAGAGGGUGAUCGCCCACACUGGAACUGAGACACGGUCCAGACUCCUACGGGAGGCAGCAGUAGGGAAUCUUCCGCAAUGGGCGAAAGCCUGCCGGAGCAACGCCGCGUGAGUGAUGAAGGUCUUCGGAUCGUAAAACUCUGUUAUUAGGGAAGAACAAAUGUGUAAGUAACUAUGCACGUCUUGACGGUACCUAAUCAGAAAGCCACGGCUAACUACGUG
rnacentral:rRNA from 1 species